CCUACGGGAGGCAGCAGUAGGGAAUAUUGCUCAAUGGGGGAAACCCUGAAGCAGCAACGCCGCGUGGAGGAUGAAGGUUUUCGGAUUGUAAACUCCUUUUGUUAGAGAAGAUAAUUUCGGUAUCUAACUAAUAACCACCGGCUAAUUCCGUGUCAGACGCCGCGGUCAUACGGAGGGUGAAAACGUUACUCGGUAUCACUGGGGGGAAAGAGCGCGUAGGAGUGUGUGCAAGUCAGAUGUGAAAUCCCAUGGUUUAACCAUAGAACUGCAUUUGAAACUGGUAUUCUAGAGUAUGGGAGAGGUAGGUGGAAUUCUUGGUGUAGGGGUAAAAUGCGUAGAGAUCAAGAGGAAUACUCAUUGCGAAGGCGGCCUGCUAGGACAAAACUGACGCUGAUGCGCGAAAGCGUGGGGAGCAAACAGGAUUAGAUACCCGGGUAGUC
rnacentral:rRNA from 1 species